rnacentral:lncRNA from 1 species
UUUUUAAUGUCAUAUAUCAUUUGUUUUUGUUUAUAGUAAUAAAGGGAUGACACUUCAUUGUAUCAGCCUAGCUGUUUGUCAUCUCUUUUUUGCAGAAAUGUAUUAUUGAAUUUAAUAUGUGAAAAACCAACAUAGUCAACAUAAAACAUGGGAAUAACCAACACAGUCCAUAAAAUUGGUUAUUAGGUUUCUCACUCAGGAUACUUCUGAGUUACCAUCUGAGCCUUAUUAUGUUCCCGACCAUCAAAGCGAUUUUUAGAAAUCAGACUACCUUUAGUCAGCAGUUUGUAGCUUGGUUUGUUAUUUUAAUAUAAUGUAGAAAUGACUUACAAAAUAAAAAAAUACAAUAAAAAGAAAAA